GACGUAGGAUGCAAGCGUUGUUCGGAUUUAUUGGGCGUAAAGCGAGCGUAGGUGGCUAGAUAAGUCUGGUGUUAAAGCUAGGGGCUCAACCCCUGUGUUGCACUGGAAACUGUCUGGCUUGAGGAUGGUAGGGGAAGGUGGAAUUCGAGUGUAGCGGUGAAAUGCGUAGAUAUUCGGAGGAACACCGGUGGCGAAAGCGGCGCACUGGACCACAUCUGACGCUGAGGAGCGAAAGCGUGGGGAGCGAACAGG
rnacentral:rRNA from 1 species